UUUCUUGACUGCUGAAUUUCGUAAGAAGGGAUUGGUCAGGGAGGGUCUUGGGGCUGAAGACCUGGAGAGGAGCUGGUGCUAUCGCUGUUCAAAUCUGAAGGUGGUGGAGAUGGAGCCUUGGGGAGGAGCCGGUGCUGCCUUUUAAGUCUAUGAGAGUCGUUGAGCUGGAGGUCCAGGGAAGAGCUGGUGCUGCCACUGAUGUCUUAGGUUGUGGAGCUGAAGACAGUGAAGGAGCUGGUUUGGCUGUUCUGUGAGGGUCGUGGAGCUGGAGAUCCAGGUGGGAGAGGUGUUCUAGUUUGAGGGUCAUGCAGAUGGAGAUCUGUGAGGAGCUGAUGUUAUUUUAAUUGGUGGGUCGUAGAGCUGGAGACCAGGGAGGAACUGGUGUGGUUCUAGUUUGAGGGUUGUGGAGCUGGAGACACAGGGAGGAGCUGAGGUUCUAGUUUGAUGGUUGUGCAGCUGAAGACUCGGGGAGGGGCUGAGGUUCUAGUUUGAGGGCCCUACAGCUGGAGAUCCGGAGAGGAGCUGAUGUUUUAGAUUGAGGGUCGUGCAGCUGGAGAACCAGACAGGAGCUGAUGUUAUAGAUUGAGCAUUGUGCAGCUGAAGACUCGGGGAUGAGCUGAUGUUGUUCGCUUUGAGGGUCUUUCAGCUGAAGACUCGGGGAGGAGCUGAUGUUCUAGAUUGAGGGUCAUGCAGCUAAAGACUUGGGGAGGAGCUGAUCUUCUAGUUUGAGGGUCAUGCAGCUGAAGACUCGGGGAGGAGCUGAUAUUCUAGUUUGAGGGCCCUGCAGCUGGAGAUACAGAUAGGAGCUGAUGUUGUAGUUUGAGGGUCUUGCAGUUGAAGAUUCAGGGAGGAACUGCUCAUGUAGUUUGAGGGUCAUGGAACUGGAAACCCAGAGAGGAGCUGAUCUUAUAGAUUGAGGGUUCUGCAGCUGAAGACUCGGGGAGCAGCUGAGGUUCUAACUUGAGGAACCUACAGCUGGAGACCUGGAGAGGAGCUGAUGUUCUAAUUUAAGGGUGGUGCAGCGGAAAAAUCGGGGGGGGGGGAGCUGAUGUUGUUCGCGUUGAGGGUCUUUCAGCUGGAGACUCGGGGAGGAGCUGAUGUUCUAGAUUGAGGGUCAUGGAGUUGGAGGCCUGGAGAGGAGCUGAUGUUGUAGUUUGAGCAUCUUGCCAGCUGCAAACCCGGAGAGAAGCUGAUGUAGUUUGAGGGUCUUGCAGCUGCAGACCCAGAGAGGAACUGAUGUUCUAGAUUGAGGAUCAUGCAGCUGAAGACUCUGGGAGGAGCUGAUGUUCUAACUUGAGGGUCAUGCAGCUGAAGACUCGGGGAGGAGCUGAUGUUCUAGUUUGAGGGUCUUGCAGCUGCAGACCUGGAGAGGAGCUGAUGUUCUAGAUUGAGGGUCGCACAGCUGAAGACUUGGGGAGUAGCUGAUGUUGUUUGCAUUGAGUCUUUCAGUUGGAGACUCAGGGAGGAGCUGAUGUUCUAGAUUUAGGGUCAUGGAACUGGAGACCUGGAGAGAAGCUGAUGUUCUAGUUUGAGGGUCUUGCUGCUGCAGACCCGGAGAGGAGCUGAUGUUCUAGUUUGAGGAUCUUGCAGCUGCAGACGUGGAGAAGAGCUGAUCUUCUAGUUUGAGGGUCGUGCAGCUGAAGUCUCGGGGAUGAGCUGAGGUUCUAGUUUGAGGGUCGUGCAGCAGAAGACUCGGGGAGGAGCUGAGGUUCUAGUUUGAGGGUCGUGCACCUGGAGAACUGGACAGGAGCUGAUGUUCUAGAUUGAGCAUCGUACAGCUGAAGACUUGGGGAGGAGCUUAUGUUGUUCACUUUGAGGGUCUUUCAGCUGGAGACUCAGGCAGGAGCUGAUGUUCUAGUUUGAGGAUCUCGUAGCUGCAGAAUCAGAGAGGAGCUGAUGUUCUAGAUUGAGGAUCUUGUAGCUACAGACCCAUAGAGGAGCUGAUGAUCUAGAUUCAGGGUCAUGCAGCUGAAGACUCGGGGAGGAGCUGAUGUUGUAGUUUGAGGGUCAUGCAGCUGAAGACUUGGUGAGGAGCUUAUGUUGUUCACUUUGAGGGUCUUUCAGCUGGAGACUCAGGCAGGAGCUGAUGUUCUAGAUUGAGGAUCAUGGAGGUGAAAACCCGGAGAGGAGCUGAUGUUCUAGUUUGAAUGUCUUGCAGCUGCAGACCCAGAGAGGAGCUGAUGUUCUAGUUUGAGGAUCUUGUAGCUGCAGACCCAGAGAGGAGCUGAUGUUCUAGAUUGAGGAUCUUGUAGCUACAGACCCGUAGAGGAGCUGAUGUUCUAGAUUGAGGGUCAUGCAGCUGAAGACUCGGGGAGGAGCUGAUGUUCUAGUUUGAGGGUCGUGCAGCUGAAGACUCGGGAAGGAGCUGAUGUUCUAGAUUGAGGGUCAUGCAGCUGAAGACUCGGAGAGGAGCUGAUGUUCUAGUUUGAGGGUUGUGCAGCUGAAGCCUCAGGGAGGAGCUGAUGUUCUAGUUUGAGGGCCCUACAGCUGGAGAACUGGAGAGGAGCUGAUGUUCUAGUUUGAGUGUCUUGCAGCUGCAGACCCAUAGAAAAGCUAAUGUUCAGUUUGAAGGUCUUGCAGCUGCAGACCCGGAGAGGAGCUGAUGUUCUAGAUUUUGAGGGUCCUGCAGCUGAAGACUCGGGGAGGAGCUGAUGUUCUAGUUUGAGGGUCAUGCAGCUGAAGAGCCAGGGAGGAGCUGAUGUUCUAGCUUGAGGGACCUACAGCUGAAGACUUGGAGAGAAGCUGAUGUUCUAGUUUAAGGGUGUUGCAGCUGAAGACUCGGGGUGGAGCUUAUGUUGUUUGCAUUGAAAGUCUUUCAGCUGGAUGUUCAGGGAGGAGCUGAUGUUCUAGAUUGAGGGUCUUGGAGCUGGAGACCUAGAGAGGAGCUGAUGUUCUAAUUUGAGUAUCUUGCAGCUGCAGGCCUGGAGAGGAGCUGAUGUAGUUUGAAGGUCUUGCAGCUGCAGACCGGGAGAGGAGCUGAUGUUCUGGAUUGAGGAUCUUGCAGCUGAAGACUCGGGGAGGAGCUGAUGUUCUAAGUUGAGGGUCUUGCAACUGAAGACUUGAGGAGGAGCUGAUGUUCUAGCUUGAGGGUCGUUCAGCUGAAGACUCGGGGAGGAGCUGUUCUGGUUUGAGGGUCGCGUAGCUGAAUACUCCAGGAGGAGCUGAUGUUCCAAUUUGAGGGUCAUGCAGCUGGAGAUCUGGCAGGAGCUGAUGUUCCAGUUUGAGGGCCGGGUAGCUGAUGUAACAGUUUGAAGGUCAUGCAACUGGAGACCUGUGCGGGGGAGAAGAUGUUCCAGUUUGAGGGCCAUGCAGUUUGAGACCCAGCGGGAAGCUGAUGUUCCGGUAUGAGGGCCAUGAAGCUAGAGACCUGGUUGGGAGGUGAUGUUCCAGGUUGAGGACCGUGCAGCUGGAGACCGGGCGGGAGCUGAUGUUCCAGUUUGAGGUCCAUGCAGCUGGAGACCCAGGAGGGAGCUGAUGUUCCAGUUUCAGGGCCGUGCAGCUGGAGACACCGCGGGGAGCUCAUGUUCCAGUUUGAGGGCCGGGGAGCUGAUGUACCAGUUUGAGGGCCAUACAACUGGAGACCCGGGGGGGAGAAGAUAUUCCAGUUUCAGGGCCGUGCAGCUGGAGACCCCGCGGGAAGCUGAUGUUCCAGUCUGAGGGUCUUGCAGCUGGAGACCCGGGGAGGAAUAUCAAACUCGAACAUCUGCUCCCCACAGUGUCUCCAGCUGCACAGCUCUCAAACUGGAACAUCGGUUCCCAUCCGGGUCUCCAGCUGCACAGCCCUUAACCUGGAACAGUUUGAACCUGGUGGGGGAGCUGAUGUUGCAAUUGGAGGGCCGUGCAGCUGGAGACCCAGAGGGGAGCAGACGUUCUAGUUUUAGGGCCGUGAAGCUGUAGACUCAGGAGGAAGCUGAUGUUCCAGUUUGAGAGCUGUGCAGCUGGAGACCCGGGGGGGAACUGAUGCUGCAGUUUGAGGGCCAUGCAGCUGGAUACCCGGCUGGGAGCUGAUGUUGCAGUUUGAGGGCUGUGCGCCUGGAGCCCUGGGGCGGAGCUGAUAUUCCAGUUUGAGGGCCGUGCAGCUGGAGACCUGAUGGGAGCCGAUGUUCCAGUUUGAGGGCCAUGCAGCUGGAGACCCGGCGGGGAGCUCAUAUUCCAGUUUGCAGGCCGUGCAGCUGGAGACCUGGUGGGGAGCUGAUGUUCCAGUUUGAGGGCCGUGCAACUGGAGACCCGGCAGGGAGCUGAUGUUCCAGUUUGAGGGCCCUGCAGCUGGAGACCCAUGGGGAUCUGAUGUUCCAGUUUCAGGUUGGUGCAGCUGGCGACCCGGGUGGGAGCUGAUGUUCUAGUUUGAGGGCCGUGCAGCUGGCGACCCGGGGGCGGGCUGAUGUUCCAGUUUGAAGGCCGUGCAUUUGGAAACCCUGGGGUGAGCUGAAUUUCCAGUUUGAGAGAUGUGCAGAUGGAGACCCAGUGGGGGAGCUGAUGUUCCAGUUUGAGGGCCCAGAAGCUGAUGUUCCAGUUUGAGGGCCCAGGAGCUGAUGUUCCAGUUUAAGGCUGUGCAGCUGGAGACCCAGGGGUGAGCUGAUGUUCUACUUUGAGGGCUGUGCAGCUUGAGACCCGGCGGGUAGCUGAUGUUCCAGUUUGAGGGCCGUGCAGCUGGAGACCCAGGUGGGAGCUGUUGUUCUAGUUUUAGGGCCAUGCAGCUGGAGACCCGGGGAGUGGGGGGAGCUGAUGGUGCAGUUUGAGGGCCAUGCAGCUGAGGACCCAGGGGGGAGCUGAUGUUCUCCUUUGAGUGCUGUGCAGCUGGAGACCCGGGGGGAGUUGAUGUUCCGUUUGAGGGCCGUGCAGCUGGAGACCCAGGUGGGAGCUGAUGUUCCGGUUUGAGGGUGGUGCAGCUGGCGACCUGGGCGGGAGCUGAUGUUCUAGUUUGAGGACUGUGCAGCUGGAGACCCAGCGGGGAGCUGAUGUUGCAGUUUGAGGGCCAUGCAGCUGGAGACCCAUGGGGGAGCUGAUGUUGUUUUGAGAGCCGUGCAGCUGGAGAUCCGGGGGUGAGCUGAUGUUCCCGUUUGAGGGCUGUGCAGCUGGAGGCCUAGCGAGGAGCUAAUGUUCCUGUUUGAGGUCCUUGCAGCUGGAGACCUGGGGAGGAGCUGAUGUUCUUGUUUGAGGGCCUUCCAGCCGGAGACCCGGGGAUGUGCUGAUGUUCCCAUUUGAGAGCUGUGCAGCUGGAGACCCGUGGGGGAGCUGAUGUUCCCUUUAGAGGACCGUGCCACUGGAGAGCCUGCGGGGAUCUGAUGUUCCAGUUUCAGGGCCAUGCAUCUUGAGACUCGGGGAGGUACUGAUGUUCCCGUUGGAGAGCCGUGCAGCUGGAGACCUGGGGAGGAGCUGAUGUUCCCGUUUGAGGGCCGUGCAGGUGGAGACCUGGGGAGGAGCUGAUGUUGUUCUAGUUUGUGUGUUGUGCAGCUGCAGAUCCAGGGAUGAGAUGGUCCUGCGGUUCAAAUAUGAGGGUCCCGGAGCUGGAGUCUAUGUGAGGAGCCAAUGCUGCCUCUGAUGUCUUAGGUUGUGGAGCUGGAAACUCGCGGAGGAGUCGGUAUUAGUGUUUCUAGUUGAGGGUUGUGGAUCUGGAGAUACAGUGGGGAGCAGUGUUCUAGUUUGUGGGUCGUGGAGCUGGAGACCCAGGGAGGAGCUGGUGUGUUUCUAGUUGAGGGUCAUGGAGCUGGAGACCCACGGAGGAGCUGGUAUGUUCUAGUUGAGGGUCGUGGAGCUGGAGAUCUGGGGAAGAGCUGGUGCUGCGGUUCAAGUCUGAGGGUCUCAGAGCUGGAGCGCCCGGGAGGAGUAGGUACUGCCACUGAUGUCUUAGGUUUUGGAGCUGGAGACCUGUGGACAAGCCAGGCUGGUGUUCUAGUUUGAGGUUCCUGGAGCUGGAAUCCUGGUCAGGAGCCAGUGAUGCUGUUUAAGUCUGAAGUUCGUGGAGCUAAACACGGAGCCGAUGUUAGGGAAGUAGAGAGAGAGAGUUUCAGGACGCCACUUGAAACUGUACAUGUAGCUGAAUCCCAAGCAAGUUAAGCCUGGGAGCUUCUCAGUCCUCGGGAUCAAUGCAUUCCUUU
rnacentral:lncRNA from 10 species